GGCGGUCAUAGCGUAGGGGAAACGCCCGGAUCCCAUUCCGAACCCGGAAGCUAAGCCCUACUGCGCCGAUGGUACUGCACCCGAAAGAGUGUGGGAGAGUAGGUCGCCGCC
rnacentral:rRNA from 1 species